UACAGAGGUCUCAAGCGUUGUUCGGAUUCAUUGGGCGUAAAGGGUGCGUAGGUGGUGAUGCAAGUCUGGUGUGAAAUCUCGGAGCUCAACUCCGAAAUUGCACCGGAUACUGCGUGACUCGAGGACUGUAGAGGAGAUCGGAAUUCACGGUGUAGCAGUGAAAUGCGUAGAUAUCGUGAGGAAGACCAGUUGCGAAGGCGGAUCUCUGGGCGGUUCCUGACACUGAGGCACGAAGGCCAGGGGAGCAAACGGG
rnacentral:rRNA from 1 species